rnacentral:rRNA from 1 species
AACGAACGCUGGCGGCAGGCUUAACACAUGCAAGUCGAACGCACCGCAAGGUGAGUGGCAGACGGGUGAGUAACACGUGGGGAUCUGCCCAAUGGUACGGAAUAGCUCCGGGAAACUGGAAUUAAUACCGGAUGAGCCCGCCAGGGGAAAGAUUUAUCGCCAUUGGAUGAACCCGUGUCGGAUUAGCUAGUUGGUGUGGUAAAGGCGCACCAAGGCGACGAUCCGUAGCUGGUCUGAGAGGAUGAUCAGCCACACUGGGACUGAGACACGGCCCAGACUCCUACGGGAGGCAGCAGUGGGGAAUAUUGGACAAUGGGCGCAAGCCUGAUCCAGCCAUGCCGCGUGAGUGAUGAAGGCCUUAGGGUUGUAAAGCUCUUUCGCCGACGAAGAUAAUGACGGUAGUCGGAGAAGAAGCCCCGGCUAACUUCGUGCCAGCCGCCGCCGUAACAC